UCACAUAGGCAAAUGGGGCUUCUGGUUCU
rnacentral:piRNA from 1 species